rnacentral:rRNA from 1 species
GAUCCUGGCUCAGAAUCAACGCUGGCGGCGCGCUUAACACAUGCAAGUCGAGCGAGAAAGGGGAGCAAUCCCUGAGUACAGCGGCGUACGGGUGAGUAACACGUGGAUGAUCUACCUUUUAGUGGGGAAUAACCCUGGGAAACCGGGGCUAAUACCGCAUAAGCCUGAGAAGGGAAAGCAAGUAAUUGCGCUGAAAGAGGAGUCCGCGGCCGAUUAGCUAGUUGGUGAGGUAAUGGCUCACCAAGGCGGUGAUCGGUAGCCGGCCUGAGAGGGCACACGGCCACACUGGCACUGAAACACGGGCCAGACUCCUACGGGAGGCAGCAGUGGGGAAUCUUGCACAAUGGAGGCAACUCUGAUGCAGCGACGCCGCGUGAGCGAUGAAGCCCUUCGGGGUGUAAAGCUCUUUCGGCAGGGACGAUAAUGACGGUACCUGAAGAAGAAGCUGCGGCUAACUACGUGCCAGCAGCCGCGGUAAUACGUAGGCAGCGAGCGUUGUUCGGAAUUACUGGGCGUAAAGAGUGUGUAGGCGGUGCUCUAAGUUCGGUGUGAAAUCUCCUGGCUCAACUGGGAGGGUGCGCCGGAAACUGGAGUGCUUGAGCGUGGGAGAGGAAAGCGGAAUUCCUGGUGUAGCGGUGAAAUGCGUAGAUAUCAGGAGGAACACCUGUGGUGUAGACAGCUUUCUGGACC